rnacentral:rRNA from 1 species
UACGUAGGGAGCGAGCGUUGUUCGGAGUUACUGGGCGUAAAGCGUGCGUAGGCGGUGGUCCAAGUCUGGUGUGAAAUCUCCCGGCUCAACUGGGAGGGUGCGCCGGAAACUGGGCCGCUGGAGUACGGGAGAGGCAAGCGGAAUUCCAGGUGUAGCGGUGAAAUGCGUAGAUAUCUGGAGGAACACCCGUGGUGCAGACGGCUUGCUGGACCGUGACUGACGCUGAGGCACGAAAGCGUGGGUAGCAAACAGG